rnacentral:misc_RNA from 1 species
GAAACCGAUACCAUGAACUCGGAGUUCCAAUCCACUACCAAAACUUCGAAUGUCAUAAAACAAAAUGAAGAUUUAAGGGGAAAAAAGAACACUAAACCUUCUAGACAUGGGGACUAUCUCAACUUACGCACAGACUCAAUAGAGACCCAAAAAUUUCCACCAGAAAGUUCCAACAACUACCCAGAUCGAAGCGUUAAUCAAGGCCAUUAUAAAACCCAUCUUGAAUACAUCAGGAAGCUCCACAUAACCAGCUCCAUAGUAAACAGCAGCCUGACCACUGCUGUAAUGUGUUAUUGCACCAAAGAGGUUUGUAUUAUAUGCCAAGGCUAGUGCUGACAAUACCCCAGGAACACCAGCUGCCAAGUGCAUAGCAAGAAAUGCCGAGUACAAGGCUCCUACAUGCCCAGUCUGACUUGCAAAUAGAUAGUGAAUGAGGAAGUAGGAAGCUUGGAGAACACCAAAUGCUGCUGGCCAGCUCAAUGAGAAAGACUGCAAGGAUGUGGCUACACAAUUUGACAUCCAUGUCACAACUCCAAGGUUAGUGAGUUGUCCAGCCAUGCCAACAAGAACUGCAAACCAAGCCAAUGUAUCCCAAGCAGACUUCUCACUUAAGCAAUCAUCCCAGUUUAAGACACCAAAGAGCAGUAGAAUUGAUAGGCCAAGCAUUGCUGCCACCACACUUGCAAUACCAAAAGCCUCCCCGCCGACCCACAACGAAACUGCAAGAAGCAUGGUACCAAUCAUCACCCAUUCAUUCCUUGUCACGGGUCCCAUCUGUUCAAGUUUCUUGGUGGCCAAACCAGGGGCAUCUGGUGUGUCCUUAGUUUCCGGGGGAAAGAUCUUAUACAAAAUAUAUGGAGUAGCUAAAAGAGCAACAAAGGCAGGUAGACUUGCAACCUUGAACCAUGCUACCCAUGGACCUGCAAUAUUAACCCCAAGUUCCUCAGCUAAUU